GCUAAACGCUCGCCCAAAAUGGCCGGUGCUUACUCAACCGCACCUGCGACUGUGUCCAGACGAAAUGGCGGCCCGAGCAGCGGUGCCCUCUCUCCGCCUCGCCUUCCAGCCCCUUGGCCGCGCCUACUUCUCCUCCACCGCCUCGCCCCUGCGCCUCACUAUCGGCGAUCCUGCUGUCACCACCAGCGGCGUGCGCGCCGAGCUCCAUUCGUGGGGGCGCGGCAGCGCUGGCCAGCUGGGUGGUGGCAUCGAAGAAAUCCGCUAUUACCCAACACCUGUUGCCUUUCUCAAUCUCCCCACUGACUUUAGCUUGGCCCCCGUUUCGGGUCGGUUGAAUUUGUCUUCGGAAGCCUCAUUGGUUGAGGCUGGUGUUUCUUGUGGGUUGUUUCACUCGGGUUUGUUGGUGGAGGGGAAGUUGUGGGUUUGGGGGAAAGGGGAUGGGGGUAGGCUUGGGCUUGGCUCCGAGAUGUCGGCCUAUGUGCCGAUGUUGAACCCACAUUUGGAGUCAUUGCGUAUGGUUGCUCUUGGGGGCCUUCACUCUACGGCACUUACAAUGGAAGGAAGGGUCUUCACAUGGGGUUAUGGAGGAUUUGGGGCACUUGGGCAUUCUGUUUACCAUCGAGAACUUUCGCCUAGGCAAGUAGAGAAUGCUUGGAGUGGAAAAAUAUGUCAUCUUGCUACCAGUGGUACUCAUACUGCCGCUAUUUCUGAUGCAGGUGAACUUUAUACUUGGGGUCGAGAUGAAGGAGAAGGUAGGUUAGGCCUCGGUACUGGUGGUGGCCCAGAUGAGGGUGCACUUGGCACCCCAUCAAGAGUGGAUGCAUUACCAGUACCUGUUGCUGCUGUUACUUGUGGUGGAUUUUUCACAAUGGCUUUGACAACCGAUGGGCAGUUAUGGAGUUGGGGAGGUAACUCAAACUUUGAGCUGGGAAGGGGUAAUAACAUAAAUGAUUGGAGACCACAACCAGUUCCUAGUCUUGAUGGUGUUAGGAUAAUUCAAAUAGCAAGUGGUGGAUUCCAUUCUAUGGCACUUACUGAUGAUGGGAAAGUGCUUACUUGGGGUCAUGGAAGACAUGGUCAGUUGGGUCAUGGCUCUAUCCAGAAUCAGAAGGUUCCAGUUGUGGUUGAGGCAUUAGCAGAUGAAAAGCUUAUAUAUGUGGCAUGCGGUGGUUCUUCCUCAGCUGCUAUCACUGAGAGCGGUAAAUUAUACAUGUGGGGAAACUCAAAGGACUGCCAGCUUGGGGUUCCUGGCCUUCCUGAGGUGCAAACAUUGCCAGUGGAGGUGAAGUUUGUGGUUGACGAUGAAAAACUAGGCCCUCCCCAUGUCCUACUGGUUGCAAUAGGUGCAUCUCAUGCUAUGUGCUUGCUAUCAAGGCCUCAAGCCCAAACUUGUGAUUGAUAAGAUAGUUGGAUCCAAAAGUUUGAGUCGGUGGUCACGAUUAUUCGUAGAUCUCAUGUUGGCAUAUUGUCAACAAGAAAUGCUGAAUACACCCUAGUUUUCAUCAUCAUACGAGGGGGGAAAUCAAGACCAAGGGGAUCCCGGUAAGCUGAUAUAUUGUGAUGAUGGUUUUAAAUGUGUACAUACUGGGGAUAAACACAAUAUGGUUUUGAAACUCUCCAAACCAAAAUUAUAGUUCCAUUUGGAUUAGAUUUUAUCCAAAGUUUAUAAAUGCAACUGAGUCAAUUUUGUGAUAUUUGAGACUUGCUAAUUGGGGCUUCCAUUAGGAACUUGGAAGCAUGUCAAGUAAUGAUGAUGUUGAUUUCAGACUGUAUCUAUACUAUAUCUAACUUUGUCUUGUUGGAUGGGCUGCUUUGACCAUAGAAAGGAGGAACAUUACAAUAUUGAAUGUUCCUCCAAGAAGCAAUUUUGAAUAAAUCACA